UACCUAAACUAGCCACACCACAGUGACAGUCCUAAGCCUGUAUAAAUAGUGAAGGGGUA
rnacentral:ribozyme from 2 species